rnacentral:lncRNA from 13 species
AUAAUAAACAACAUAAAGUGAUUUUGGAAAACACAGAAAGGUUCUGAGCUUGCAAAUCUGUGUGCUGUGUGCUACAGGUGCUGUUAGGUGUAAUGGGGAUGGAAGAGAAGGCACCUGAGUCCUGUUAUUGUCGGGAGCCCAGCGGGUGCCUGGGGACCAAGACUGGUGGAAGAGUUUCUCUCUGUUGCACAGGCUAGAGUGAAGUGGCAUGACCUUGGCUCACUGCAGCCUCAACCUCCUGGGCUCAAGCGAUUCUCCCACCUCAGCCUCCCAUAUAGCAGAGAUCUAUCAUUCAGAUGAAGCUCAGGUUUGGUGGUUGAGGCACAUUCUUCCUGGAGGGUCGUGCACUGGGUAAGAUGACUCUCCUUCACCUUUUUUUCAUCCUUGG